rnacentral:rRNA from 1 species
GAUGAACGCUGGCGGCGUGCUUUACACAUGCAAGUCGAACGGACCCAAUCUUCGGAGCGGGUUAGUGGCAGACGGGUGCGUAACACGUAGGUGACCUGCCCUAGAGUGGGGAAUAAUUCAGCGAAAGCUGGACUAAUACCGCAUAAGCUCGGCAGUUCGUUCUGCCGAGUAAAGUCGCAAGACGCUCUGGGAUGGGCCUGCGGCGGAUUAGGUAGUUGGUGGGGUAAUGGCCUACCAAGCCGAUGAUCCGUAGGGGGCGUGAGAGCGUGGCCCCCCACACUGGCACUGAGAUACGGGCCAGACUCCUACGGGUGGCAG